AAUAGAUACCCUGGUAGUCCACGCCGUAAACGAUGAGUGCUAAGUGUUGGGGGGUUUCCGCCCCUCAGUGCUGCAGCUAACGCAUUAAGCACUCCGCCUGGGGAGUACGGUCGCAAGACUGAAACUCAAAGGAAUUGACGGGGGCCCGCACAAGCGGUGGAGCAUGUGGUUUAAUUCGAAGCAACGCGAAGAACCUUGCCAGGUCUUGACAUCCCGGUGACCACUAUGGAGACAUAGUUUCCCCUUCGGGGGCAACGGUGACAGGUGGUGCAUGGUUGUCGUCAGCUCGUGUCGUGAGAUGUUGGGUUAAGUCCCGCAACGAGCGCAACCCUUAUUCUUAGUUGCCAUCAUUCAGUUGGGCACUCUAAGGAGACUGCCGGUGAUAAACCGGAGGAAGGUGGGGAUGACGUCAAAUCAUCAUGCCCCUUAUGACCUGGGCUACACACGUGCUACAAUGGACGGUACAAACGGUUGCCAACCCGCGAGGGGAGCUAAUCCGAUAAACCGUUCUCAGUUCGGAUUGUAGGCUGCAACUCGCCUACA
rnacentral:rRNA from 1 species